rnacentral:lncRNA from 1 species
AAAGACCCUCCAUACAGGAGUGAAUUUCACCAGACUCUCUCCUAGAAUAUUGAUGUUGGGGCCCUUAUAAUUAUUUCCUCAGGUAGUUUCAUCUGUGCAGCUCUCUGAGAGUCUUACCUGACCCAGUGCCAUUUUAUAUGGAAUUCUGGGACAGCUCUCUGCUCACUCUAAAGCCGCGUCAAUCUUCAGGUUUGGAAUUUCACAUCUGAUUGUACAACACUGUUACCUGCAGAGCACAGGCCUGAGCUUUUCAUUCCAGGUGUGCAGGCAACACUAUGGCAG